rnacentral:rRNA from 1 species
GACGAACGCUGGCGGCGUGCUUAACACAUGCAAGUCGAACGGAAAGGCCCUGCUUUUGUGGGGUGCUCGAGUGGCGAACGGGUGAGUAACACGUGAGUAACCUGCCCUUGACUUUGGGAUAACUUCAGGAAACUGGGGCUAAUACCGGAUAGGAGCUCCUGCUGCAUGGGGGGGGUUGGAAAGUUUCGGCGGUUGGGGAUGGACUCGCGGCUUAUCAGCUUGUUGGUGGGGUAGUGGCUUACCAGGGCUUUGACGGGUAGCCGGCCUGAGAGGGUGACCGGCCACAUUGGGACUGAGGUACGGCCCAGACUCCAACGGGAGGCAGCAGUGGGGAAUAUUGCACAAUGGGCGGAAGCCUGAUGCAGCAACGCCGCGUGCGGGAUGACGGCCUUCGGGUUGUAAACCGCUUUCGCCUGUGACGAAGCGUGAGUGACGGUAAUGGGUAAAGAAGCACCGGCUAACUACGUG